rnacentral:misc_RNA from 1 species
GAUGAAGAACGUAGCGAAAUGCGAUAAGUAGUGUGAAUUGCAGAAUUCAGUGAAUCAUCGAAUCUUUGAACGCACAUUGCGCCCCUCGGUAUUCCGUGGGGCAUGCCUGUUCGAGCGUCAUUUAACCCCUCAAGCCUAGCUUGGUAUUGGGUGCUUGUCCCGCCUCUCGCGCGGCGACUCACCUCAAAGUCAUUGGCAGCCCGCAUCUCGCCGGCCGUGAGCGCAGCACAGACGCGCUCUUGGCAACGACGGAUCGGCUCUCCAAAAGCUUAUUUCAACCACUGACCUCGGAUCAGGUAGGGAUACCCGCUGAACUUAAGCAUAUCAAUAAGCGGAUGA